GACGAACGCUGGCGGCGUGCUUAACACAUGCAAGUCGAACGAUGAAGUUCCUUCGGGAAUGGAUUAGUGGCGAACGGGUGAGGAACACGUGAGAAACCUGCCUUUCAUUCUGGGAUAACUCCGGGAAACCGGGGCUAAAACCGAAUACUCCGUCUCGGCGGCAUCGCUGAGCCGGGAAAAAAUUUUGAUGAAAGAUGGUCUCGCGGCCUAUCAGCUAGUUGGUGAGGUAAUGGCUCACCAAGGCAACGACGGGUAGCCGGACUGAGAGGGCGACCGGCCACACUGGGACUGGGACACGGCCCAGACUCCUACGGGAGGCAGCAGUGGGGAAUAUUGGGCAAUGGGCGCAAGCCUGACCCAGCGACGCCGCGUGAGGGAUGAAGGCCUUCGGGUUGUAAACCUCUUUCAGUAGGGAAGAAGCGAAAGUGACGGUACCUAAAGAAGAAGCACCGGCUAACUAUGUGCCAGCCGCCGCCGUAA
rnacentral:rRNA from 1 species